AUUUAGUGAUAGCUGGCUUCUGAGUGAUAUUUACCUAAGCUCUCCUUUUUUAUUGGUAUUUUCCAGACUGCAAACAUAACAGAAAGUUCUGUCCAUGUGACUCCAAGAUAUUGCAGGUGACUGUCAGCUUGAUGCAGAAAUUCACUUUGUCUCACUGCAUCACAGUUUAUGAAGUACAAUGCAAAUUCUUUGGUCUUUAGGGCAUGUCAUUUCCAUGUUCAGUUUUUGAAAUUAAUUUACACCAUUGCAAGACAAAGAAAGUGGAAAUUUUCCUGCUGUCAUACCCACCUCUGUUACCAGCCUUCCCUUUCGUUUCAGCAGUGUCUAGCAGGGAGCCCUUAUCUGCAUAUGAUGUUCACAAAGGGCCUGCUGGAACAUCCAAGUCCAGUCUGCACUUGUGAAGCACCUGCUCUGCAGGACUCUUAUCGAUAAUCCACCCAGAAAUGGGACAUGAUUUCUGCUGGCAAAAGAAAUGAGCAAGUCAUUAUCCAGGAUUGAUGGUUAACUUAGCCAUUUAAUGAUGUAUAAGAGGAGCUAAAUGACUUUUUUUGGUUUUACAGUUUGUACUUGCUCUUUAUAUUUCAUUAUUGUUUAAAAAAAAAAGCUAUUAUUUGCGUUUAUCUUGUAAUACAUAAUCUUUGUAAGAUGAGAAAGAUGAGUAAUCACUGGUCAUAUCAGGUUCUCAUUUUCUCACCUUCACUCUGGGGACUUCUACUAAGGAGAGGACAAAUUCCUUCUGGGAUAUGUUGAUGCUUGCAUUUUCCAGUGAAGUUAUGCUUACAAUGUUGAUAUAGAGGUGAACCCAAGCAGUUCUUCUCAUAAAGCUUCCAACUGUAACCGUUCUCCAGAAUGCUUUGACAAAUAGAGCUGUGGUUUCUGUACAGCUGAAACCAAACAAUGGAGAUGUAAUGAAACUUUGGGUUCUGUGGAUAUCUCCUGACAAGGGAUGGCUGAUUUGAUGUAAGGAGCUGAUCAGAUGGAAAUAAUCAGUGAACCAAAUAUUAUACUUUGCAGUGUGUGUACAAUUGCCUUGGUAGCUUUCAAAAGAGCAUAUUUAUCCUUGUAGUUGGGGAUUUUAAGAAGUUCACCUUGUUCUUGUGCCUCAAAAACUAUCUUCAUUCUUUAAGCCCAAGACAUGUUCAUACUUUGUAGAUUUAGUAAAAUAAAAAAGGGCUUUUUUCUUUGUGGAUGUCA
rnacentral:lncRNA from 1 species